rnacentral:rRNA from 1 species
UACGGAGGGUGCAAGCGUUGUUCGGAUUUAUUGGGCGUAAAGGGCGUGCAGGCGGUCUUGCAAGUCCGAUGUGAAAGCCCCGGGCUCAACCCGGGAAGUGCAUCGAAAACCGCGAGACUUGAGUACGGGAGAGGGCAGUGGAAUUCCUGGAGUAGGGGUGAAAUCCGUAGAUAUCAGGAAGAACACCGGUGGCGAAGGCGGCUGCCUGGACCGAUACUGACGCUGAGACGCGAAAGCGUGGGGAGCAAACAGG